rnacentral:rRNA from 1 species
UAGCUGCGAAUGGGUGAGUAACACGUACUUAACAUGCCCUCUAGAUUGGAAUAACGAUUAGAAAUGAUCGCUAAUGCCGGAUACUUAUUUCCUUCGCAUGAAGGAUAUAUAAAAGGAGCGUUUGCUUCGCUAGAGGAUUGGGGUGCGUAACAUUAGCUAGUUGGUAGGGUAAUGGCCUACCAAGGCUAUGAUGUUUAGCGGGGUUGAGAGACUGAUCCGCCACACUGGGACUGAGAUACGGCCCAGACUCCUACGGGAGGCAGCAGUAGGGAAUUUUCCACAAUGGACGAAAGUCUGAUGGAGCGACACAGCGUGCAGGAUGACGGCCUUCGGGUUGUAAACUGCUGUUAUAAGGGAAGAAAAAAUAAAGUAGGAAAUGACUUUAUCUUGACGGUACCUUGUCAGAAAGCAACGGCUAACUAUGUGCCAGCAGCCGCGGUAAUACAUAGGUUGCAAGCGUUAUCCGGAAUUAUUGGGCGUAAAGCGUCUGUAGGUUGUUUGUUAAGUCUGACGUGAAAACUUGGGGCUCAACCCCAAAUUGCGUUGGAUACUGGCAAACUAGAGUUAUGAAGAGGUUAGCGGAAUUCCUUGUGAAGCGGUGAAAUGCGUAGAUAUAAGGAAGAACACCAACUUGGCGAAGGCAGCUAACUGGGCAUACACUGACACUGAGAGACGAAAGCGUGGGGAGCAAACAGGAUUAGAUACCCUGGUAGUCCACGCUGUAAACGAUGAUGAUUAGCUGAUGGGGAACUCAUCGGCACAGCUAACGCAUUAAAUCAUCCGCCUGAGUAGUAUGCUCGCAAGAGUGAAACUUAAAGGAAUUGACGGGGAUCCGCACAAGCGGUGGAGCAUGUGGUUUAAUUUGAAGAUACGCGUAGAACCUUACCCACUCUUGACAUCUU